rnacentral:rRNA from 1 species
UACGGGGGGGGCAAGCGUUGUUCGGAAUUACUGGGCGUAAAGGGCCAGUAGGCGGCCAACUAAGUCGGAUGUGAAAUCCCCAGGCUCAACUUGGGAACUGCAUCCGAUACUGGAUGGCUUGAAUCCGGGAGAGGGAUGCAGAAUUCCAGGUGUAGCGGUGAAAUGCGUAGAUAUCUGGAGGAAUACCGGUGGCGAAGGCGGCAUCCUGGACCGGCAUUGACGCUGAGGAGGCGAAAAGCUAGGGGAGACAAACGGG